AGGGGUGUAACUCAGUGGUAGAGUAUGUGUCUUACAAACACAAGGUCGGGGGUUCGAACCCCUCCACCCCU
rnacentral:tRNA from 1 species